UAAGCAUUCACUUGCCAAAUGAAGAGAUGUGAAUUAUUAUAUUAGCCAAAUCUUUACCUGGUAAAAAGAAUUGAGUACCAGAAAGGGUGUCACUGUGUAAAACCAAAAUCUCACUUCCACGAAUUUGAUUGCACUUGUGGUAGACACAAUAUAAAUACAACUAUUGCUUAGGAGUCUCAAUGGUGUAUCUGACCCAAGUCCAUCUUUGUGUUCCGCAGAGAAGAGAUCGAGAUACACAAACAAGUGAAAGGAGAAGUGCUUUAACGGCUGGUUUACUAUUAAGGGGAUCCACAUAGCUGAUGAGGUUCAACUUUGAAAGGAGAAGUGCUUCAGAUAGGUUGAUCUAUUUUGUGAAAUUUGUUUUAACUUUUUUAGUGACAGUUACUGAAGCAGAAAAUAUCUAUUCCAGGGCGAGCUUCCUAGCAAAUUGAAAACAAAGAAAUCAAAUAUUUCGUGGUCAGGCACUGCUUGGACCUGCUCCAACAAACUUAAGCAUUAUCCUUCCUUUUGCCGAAAUGGAACUACAAUAACUGUUAAUUCCUUUGCUACGGUCAUGGCCAAAGAAGAAAGUCACUACCUAGGUCACUUGGAAGAUUUCUAUGAGAACAAGAAGGGACAGAAAAAAGUUAGAAUGCAGUGGUUUCAAUAUUUUCAGGAAGUCUAGUGUGUAAUUCCUCAACUCAAUGGACACCCUCGAGAGGUAUUUAUCACGUCUCAUGUUCAGGUGAUCCAUGCCGAGUGUAUCGAUGAUCCUGCUACAGUUUUGACUCCUAGAGAUAACGAGAAAUAUAUCUCUCUUGUCCCGAAAAGUUUGUCCUCUGGUGUCUAUAUGUGCUUUAGGGAAUUCAGAAACAACAAGGUCAUGCCAUUCUCUCUGGGUAAACUGGAUGGGAACUGAAAUCAAACGACAUUUACCAUGUUACGCAGUCAACAAAAGUCAAAGGGUCAUAAGUUGCAUGAAGUAAGAGAUAUAACCUGUGAAGAUCCUUCAAGGCAAGGGCCUAGUAGGAGUAGAAGUGCCAGGAAGGAUCCGAAACUGGAGAGUCAGAUAAAGCCGAACCAACUUGCCUUAAGUUAAAAAUAAAAUUGCCAAGCAGAGGACCGGUUGGAAUUCAGCUUGUUGAGCCUCAAUGUAAGCAGUCUUUUGAAGUUGGUGACAACUUAGAUGUUCUUAGCCAGGAUAGUGGCAUGAGAGGCUGCUGGUUCAGGUGUAAGGUCUUACAGGUAUCACAAAAACGUCUGAAAAUUCAACACAACGACAUCCUGGAUUGUGAUGAUCCUAAGAAGCUCGAGUUGCAGCGUCUGAUAAAUUGGGCAUGAGAUACACAGGACGCCUCACGGUUCGGCCUCGGCCUCCUGAGGGUUCUUCUGACCAUUCUUUUGAAGUAGGAGCUGCAGUUGAUGCUUGGUGGUCUGACGGGUGGUGGGAAGGUGUUGUUGCUGGUUUUAAUGUCCGUCAAAGCAGUCAUCUUCAGGUUUACUUCCCUGGUGAGAACAGAUUGUUGGAGAUUCAAAGGAAGAACGUGAAGAUUUCAAGAGAUUGGAUAGAUAACAAAUGGAUUGAAGUUGAGGGAAAGAAAGACAUAAAGUCGUUCAUAAGCUCGAGUUUACCUGACGUAUCCAAGUGCAGUAUCAAAGAAUCCGGGAACCGCAAAAAUCAGAUAGCUCCCAAGCUUGUGGCACCUGAAGACAAAAAAUGGCGGGACUUCUAAACACUCAGCGGAGAAGCAAGAUACUGAUGUGCUUAAACUGAAAAAGCGAUGGUGUAAUGAUUUUCUUGAAGGUAGGAGGUGUAAUGAUUUUCUUGAAGGUAGGAAGAACUGAUUUCGGACAAUUCUAGAGGUGACAAUGUUGGCGUCUAGGAGUCGGCAACUUUUUUGAUAAUGGUGAAAAUGCUUUUGGCAUUGUGGGUAAAUAUUUUGACUUAUAAGUAUGUCACGACCCAACCCCGUAG